AGCCAGAGAUAGCAGCUGCCCAGAAUCCAGACCUGUACUUUUGUGUUGGGACUCUACCUUGUUUUGUGCUUUUUGAUCAUAAGGAACUGGCCAGAUGCCCCUGAUCCCUCAUGGGUUUCCUGUAUCUAUUCGAUGGCGAGCUUCGAUCCCAAGCCAGGAGGCUGAAGAAAUCCCAACCCUUUGUCAACAUCCCAUGGUCUGGUAGGAGGCUUAGCAGCCUGCUCACUCUCCCACCUUCUCACUACUGAGCCCUUCCACAUCCACCUACUCCCCCUCUGGACAGUUUGCGCUUUGGAAACUACUCCCCUCAAACAAUAAAAGCCCCAAAUGAACAAUUGCGCUCAGUAUGCGUUUGGAGCCACCCAAAUGCUUGGUCGGACCUUGGGAUCCAUUUUGUUUUCUUUUUCUAGUUUGAUUUAUUGAACUUCAUGAGAAACAGAAGCAAUUGUAUUGUUGACUGGUUGUUGUUCUUUUGAUUGAUUGAUUAAUCUGUGCACAGAAAUUACUGCAGUUUGUAAAUACGUUUUGCUUUAUUUUGUUCACAUUCUUACAAUAUAUUUCCCCAUUUAAAAUCAAAUUACUAUCUCCUGGUCUCAUUUACUGCACUGCCCUCCAGUAGCCGAAUCUAAUCUUCUGACAAUAGCCCAGUAUAUAUUCUCACCUAAUUCAACCACAUUGUAAUAAGGCAAACCCUUGCUACAUUGUUUUGAGAAUGUUCUUCUUUUGUUAUCAUGGAACAUAAUCUGACAACAUUCUCCAAACAUCCUCUGAAUGUUAAAACGUUCCACUUCAGUUCACUUUUAACCUCACAGGAACAUUAUUAGAAAUGAUAAAUAUCCUUAAAAUGCUCUUUGAACAUCAGAUUAAAAUGUUUUCUUUAGAACAUUUUUAGAACUUGUAGGUAACGUCAACCAUUGUUGUGGCUCCUUCCCUUCUUUCUGGAAAGUACCUGAUGAGGAGUACUUGAGUAAAAGUACUUCCUUGAAACACUUGUACUGCAUUAUGCUUUUCCACUAUUUAAAUUUGCUUUUUUUUGUUCUCAUGUUCUUUGUAAACAUUCAACAUUUGGGAAAUAUUUGAAGACCAUUGCCUUUAAGAAAAAACAUUCUGAGGAAAAGAAAGAAGAGUUCCAGAGUUCUAGCACUAGAACUUUGCAGAACUUUCUCAGGAUGUUUUUAGAAGAAAACAUUCCAGCUGUGACUCUCCUAAACCGAAGUCCACAGAUAAACUUGUUACUGUGUUCUCUGUGGAGUGUUUUUUUUUACCAUCUAACCUUCACUGAGUAAAAAUCUGAUUCAAACAUUCCUGAUCACAGCCGAGAGAAAAUCUAGGGGUCGGGAUUAUAUAAAUCACAUUUGGGCCUUGCUAAACGUGGAUUCGAUUUGUUUGGGUUUGUGUGGAUUUCAACUUAAUAAAACACAAAAGACCAACCAAGUACUUACUUAAAACAGUCACUACGUGUCUUUCAUUAGAUUCCAGACAUUUCUGCUGCUUUGGUUCCAUCCAGAGGUGAACAUGACCUCAACGUACCCUGAAAAAAAAGGGGAAAAUCAAAGUUUUUUUUUUUUUGUUGCUAAAAUUUAAUUAAUAUUCGUAACACAAUGAAUUUAAUUUCAUCUGUUCUUUAACAAUUAACAGGGUGAAGACGCCCCCCUGAAGAACAAAGUCUUAAAAUAUGUAUUCUUUGAUUAUAACUGUAAUAUGUAUGCAGGAACAAUUUACAGGGUAAAAAAAUCACACCAGACUACAUCGUUGCUAUAUUAAAAUCAAAUGUGAAUUAAUUUAACCUCAUGAGUCCCUUUGAUCAAUGCAACUUAUAAUUCAUGCAAAAGAUUAACCAAAUUCUCAAAUAUUUAUGUUGUUCUAACUUCAUCUGCAACAUUACUAUGAGAUAACAAAUACAGGAAUCAUGUUUGUUUUUACUUUUAAAAGAUUUUUGUUGAUUAAUUUACAACUGAGGGGUCUGUAGGACAAAAAUUCUAACUUUAUUAUUAUUGCUAAUUAAAUUUACAGCUUAAAAAUGAUGUCAGAUCAACAGGAAUGCUUAGUCGACAGUAGCAAAGAUUCAAGCUAGCUAGCGCUACAGGUAGCUAGUAUAGCAUAUUAUCAUUAGCUUAAGCCAGCUAGUUAGCUAGAGCUACAGCCAGCUAAUAAAAUAUAACAUUGUUAGCUUAACAUGAAGUUGGCUAGUAAAUUAGUGCUACACCAAGCUAAUACAGCAUAACAUUGCUAGCUUCACAAGUCAUCUGGUUAGUUAGAGCGAAAGGAAGCCAAUAUAACAACAUUUUUAGCUUAAUACAAGGUCAGAUUGUUAUCUAAUGCUACAGCGAGCUAACGACGUUAUUAUCCUAACAUAAAGUUGGUUGCUUAACUAAUGUUACAGCAAACUAAUGUAGCAUAAUAUGGUUAGCUUAACAUGAAUUCAGAUAGUUAGCUAGUGUUACAGCAAGCUAAUAUAGCAUAACAUUAUUAACUUCAUAAAGUCGGCUAGUGAACUAGUACUAUAGUAAGCUAAUACAGCAUAACAUUAUUAGCUUUAUAUAAAGUUGGCUAAUACUACAGCAAGCUAAUAUAGUAUAACAUUAUUAGGCUAAAAUAAAGUCGGCUAGUUAGCUAG